CCAGAUCAGGAUGUAGGAAAGGAUAUGGUGGAGUUGGUAACCACAAGGGGUUACACCAUUGAAACCCAUAACGUGACAACAGCGGACGGUUACAUUUUGACUAUGUUCCGCAUACCUUC
rnacentral:ribozyme from 1 species